rnacentral:rRNA from 1 species
UACGUAGGGUGCAAGCGUUGUCCGGAAUUAUUGGGCGUAAAGAGCUCGUAGGCGGUCUGUUGCGUCGGCUGUGAAAUUUCGGGGCUCAACCCCGAACUUGCAGUGGGUACGGGCAGACUAGAGUGUGGUAGGGGAGACUGGAAUUCCUGGUGUAGCGGUGAAAUGCGCAGAUAUCAGGAGGAACACCGAUGGCGAAGGCAGGUCUCUGGGCCAUAACUGACGCUGAGAAGCGAAAGCAUGGGGAGCGAACAGG